CCUACGGGAGGCAGCAGUGAGGAAUAUUGGGCAAUGGGAGAGAGCCUGAACCAGCCAAGCCGCGUGAGGGAAGACGGCCCUAUGGGUUGUAAACCUCUUUUGUCGGAGAACAAAACCCGGGACGUGUCCAGGACUGCGUGUAUCCGAAGAAAAAGCACAGGCGAACGCCGUGCCAGAAGCCGCGGUAAUACGGAGGAUGCGCGCGUUGUCCGGAUUUAUUGGGUUUAAAGGGUGCGUAGGCGGUCCGUUAAGUCAGCGGUAAAAUUGCGGGGCUCAACCCCGUCGAGCCGUUGAAACUGGCAGACUUGAGUUGGCGAGAAGUAUGCGGAAUGCGCGGUGUAGCGGUGAAAUGCAUAGAUAUCGCGCAGAACUCCGAUUGCGAAGGCAGCGUACCGGCGCCAGACUGACGCUGAGGCACGAAAGCGUGGGGAUCGAACAGGAUUAGAUACCCUAGUAGUC
rnacentral:rRNA from 1 species